GCGGUCAGCUGAUGCCCGCCACGUCGGCGGGGCUGCCAGCACCCCCCCGGCCCGGUUAAAGCAGCCGCAGCUGCAGCUCUGGGAGAAGGACAGCGGGAGGGGGUUGCCGCAGAGCAGGUCCCCUGAUCCCAGGAAGGUCCUUCAAGCUUCAUUUGGGUUUCUCUGAGCUGCUCUUCUGUAGGUGCCGCGGACUGUCCCGCCUUACCUGAGAGGUGCAUCCCUCCACAGCGCUCAGCGAGAGCUGAUGCUGCAGUCAGGCAUCCCUCUGCCUCGCCACAAGGAAGAUCCUCAGACCUUGCUUGGGAAGACCACACGCGCCCAGGCCACAGAAGUACUGGGCACCUUUGUGGAGGGUUACCAAGAAAAGGACAAGAGCUGAGCACUGGCACCCACUGCAGCAAUACUCUUGGCUCUGCAGAGCAAGGAAGAAGCCUGACCAUCCUGGGGAGCAGGAGAGGGGUGAUCCUGCCAAAGCCCUGUUUGCCAAUGAGGGCUGGAUGGGCUGAGGGUCCAACACGCAGACACAAAGCCCUGAUUUGCUGUAGAAGAUUAAAUCUGAUUUCCUUUUGAUAGCAAUGGCAGGUUUUUGGUGAAGAUGAAUAUUUCGGAAUGGUCUGUAGGUGGUCUACCCUACAUGUGAGAUUAAUUUCAUCUUCUCUUACAUGACAAGAAAAAGGAAUAAUAGCAAUCUUAAAGCCUGCAUCUGCUCUGCAUUCAACAUUGUGAGGCCACUUAGAGCCAAGGAGAACAUAAUCUCAUUGCCAGUUGUUUUGCAGCCCAGGAUGGGAUGCAGCACUUAGACAAUAGUGAAGAACCGGUGGCCACUAUGUUAAGUAAUCAUCAUUAUAUAGGACUUGACCUCUUCUGAGAUCUCUUCAGGAAUUAUGGAAGCAAAGGAGGUUCUCACAAAAAGCCCAACAAAUUAUUCUCCUGUAUGGAUUUGUCUCAAAUCAAGGACACAGAAGCAAAAUAAUUCAU